CGUAGGGAGCAAGCGUUGUUCGGAUUUACUGGGCGUAAAGGGCGCGUAGGCGGCAGAUCAAGUCAGUUGUGAAAUCUCUGAGCUUAACUCAGAACUGUCAACUGAUACUGUUCUGCUAGAGUGCGGAAGGGGCAAUCGGAAUUCUUGGUGUAGCGGUGAAAUGCGUAGAUAUCAAGAGGAACACCUGAGGUGAAGACGGGUUGCUGGGCCGACACUGACGCUGAGUGCGCGAAAGCCAGGGGAGCAAACGGGAUUAGAUACCCCGGUAGUCCUGGCCUUAAACGAUGAAUACUUGGUGUCUGGAGUCUUUAUAGCUCCGGGUGCCGUCGCUAACGUUUUUAGUAUUCCGCCUGGGGAGUACGCACGCAAGUGUG
rnacentral:rRNA from 1 species